ensembl:lncRNA novel transcript
UGGCUGGGCCUUUGUCUCUCGCUCCCACCAGAGCUUGGAAUCCGUCUCUGCUCUUCUGCAUUCUCCACCUCGGGAGCCCCUGGGGACUCUGUGACGGCCUCUGUUGCCCUGUGAUCUGCAGGUCCGGAGAGACGCACAGCUAAGAUGUCAGGACAUCCUGGAAGCUGGGAAAGGGUCUUGCCAUCUCUAAGCUGGACCUGGUGACCUUUUUGGAGGGAAAGAAAGAGCCCUGGACUGUGAAGAGUGAGGAGACCAUAGCUGCACAGCCAGUAGAGACAGGGUUUUGCCAUGUUGGCCAGUCUGGUCUCGAACUCCUGACCUCAAGUGAUCCUCAUGCCUCGGCUUCCCAAAGUGCUGGAAUUACAGAGAUGGGGUUCCAUCAUGUUUUCCAGGCUGAUCUCAAACUCCCACGGUCAAGCGAUCUGCUGGCCUCGGCCUCUCAAGUCCAGAUGUAUAAUCUCAUCCCUGAACAUUUCUGAUGGUGUGAUUAUGACAUGUGACUUUAUCUGGCAACAGAGUGAGUUGUUGCUCCCGCCUGAGCCCAGCCCCCAGAAAGGAUUGUGACAUAUCGUUGGACCCAGAAUUGAGGUGCAGUUUUGACACACUUCUGUCUAGCAGCUGAGUAUUGUGAUCUUCAGAACUGGCCCAGCCUACAAAUAGGAUUGUGCCACACUGCUGGACCCAGCACCUAGAUGAUGUAACUAUUCUCCUGCCUUGGUGCUACUCAAAAAAGACAUUAACAUAUCUCAGAGCCUUGCACCCAGGUGGAAUUGUGACAUAUAACUUGGCCAAGCACACAGAUGUAAUGGUGUGGUGACUCUCAUACCUAGAACUGGGACCUGUGCAGGAUUGUUAAUUCAUUACUGGACAUUCCUGUGGGUGUGAUUGUUACAUAUGCCUAUGUUCAGCACCCGAGUGAUUUGAUUUUGCUGCCUGGUCUCAGUCCAAAUGUAAGAUUGUGAUUUAUCGCUGAAUCCAGCACCUCGGUGAUUUGACUCUCCCUUUUUUUGUGGGAGGGAUCCUGCAAAUUUUGGGUAUUGUCAAUUAUUGCUGAAUCCUGUACCCAUGUUAUGACUCUCCCAAAUGUGCCUUACCUGUUGUGGCACAAUAUAUCACAUUAGACAUUGUUAAAUAUUGUUGGGUUCAACACCUGGGUGAUGGAUGUAACUUUUUUUCUGGGCCUGCCUACAGGGGACCUUGUGACAUAACUCAAUGCCCAUCAUCAUGGUAAUGUUACUCUCUUCUCCUGCCUGAUCUCUGCUCACAGAGAAAUUGUGACACAUCACUGGCCUAGCAUCUAGGUGAUGUGACUCUCCUCUUUUUUUCAGGCUCUGCAUAUUUGGGUAUUGUGACAUAUUGCUGAACUCAACACCUAAGGGAUGGGAGUCUCCUACCUAGGCCCUUCCUACAGGGGACAUUGUGACAUGUCUCUGCAUUCCUCAUCCAGGAGAUGUGACUCUCCUUUUCUGCCUACACCCUGCCUACACAGAAAGUUGUGGCAUAUUGCUGUGGUCAGCAACCAGAUGAUAUAUUUCUCCUGCCUGGGUCUUUAUUACAGGAAAGAUGAUUGACAUAUUACUGGGCCCAGCAUCCAGAUGAUGUGACUCUCUUCUUCUGUUGGUCCUUGCUUACAGGGAAACUGUAGCAUAUUGCUACACCCAACACCUAGCUUAUGUGAUUCUUCUUUUAGGUUUGCCUUCAGGGAACAUUGUGACAUAUUGCUGGGCCCUGCACUGAUAAUUUGUGACUCUUCUGCCUGUGAUUUGCCCACUUGGGGCAUUGUGACAUAUUGCUGGGUUUAACACUCAGGUGAUGUAACUUUUAUGCCUAGGCCUUGCUUACAGGAGGCAUUUUGAAAUGUCUUUGUGGCUGGGCAUGGUGGCUCAUGUCUGUAAUCCCAGCGCUUGGGGAGGCCAAGGUGGGCAGAUCACAAAGUCAGGAGUUCGAGACCAGCCUGGUCAACAUGGUGAAAACCUGUCUCUACUAAAACAAAACAAAACAAAACAAAA